CAGCAGCCGCGGUAAAACGGAGGGGGCUAGCGUUGUUCGGAAUUACUGGGCGUAAAGCGCACGUAGGCGGCUUUGUAAGUUAGAGGUGAAAGCCCGGAGCUCAACUCCGGAAUUGCCUUUAAGACUGCAGAGCUAGCAGGUGAGAGAGGUGAGUGGAAUUCCGAGUGUAGAGGUGAAAUUCGUAGAUAUUCGGAAGAACACCAGUGGCGAAGGCGGCUCACUGGCUCAUACUGGACGCUGAGGUGCGAAAGCGUGGGGAGCAAACAGGAUUAGAUACCCCAGUAGUCCCUGUCUCUUAUAC
rnacentral:rRNA from 1 species